UAAGCACCCGCCGAUCAUCUCCUCCCCUUCGUUCCCAACCUCUCCCCUAAAACCCUAGACAAACUCCCCAAGCUCCGAAACCCUAACCAUGGCUUCCAAAAAGAGAAAAGCUGAUCAAGAAUCCGAUCUCAUUCCGCAAUCCGCGCACAACCAUCAGGAAGCCGUGGAGGAUGAACUCUUUGACGAGGACGAGGACAUCGGAAAGCUCUUGGAACCCCUCUCUCGAGAACAACUCGUUGAUCUUCUCCGCCGGGCUGCGACCUCGGACCCUGCUAUCCUCUCUGAGAUCCAGCGCCUCGCCGACGCUGACCCCGCUCACCGGAAGUUAUUCGUCCAUGGCCUUGGCUGGGAGACGACCACCGAUACUCUCCGCUUGAUCUUUUCCAGAUACGGUGAGCUCGAUGACUGCCGCGUCGUUGUCGAUAAGGGCAGUGGUCGAUCCAAAGGCUAUGGCUUUGUCCUUUUCCACCACCGCCGUUCCGCCCGCGCCGCCCUACGGCAGCCCCAGAAACUCAUUGAAGGCCGUAUGACCGCCUGCCAGCUUGCCUCUGCUGGCCCCCCUCAAACUCCUGCUCCAAACCCUAACACGAAUCCUAACCCUAGCAGCAACCAUGAUAACCUACCGAGAAAGAUCUAUGUUGGUAAUGUCCACUCCGAUAUCGAUGGCAGUCGGCUGCGUAGCUUCUUUGGGAGGUAUGGCGAGAUCGAGGAGGGUCCCAUUGGAUUCGAUCGCCAGACAGGGAAACCAAAGGGCUUCGCUUUAUUCGUGUAUAAAACCCUAGAAGGAGCUCGCAAAGCCUUGGAAGAGCCAAACAAGAAUUUUGAAGGUCAUAUUCUUUUCUGCCAGAAGGCUACUGAUAGUAAUAAAUCAAGGGGCAGUGUUGCACCCCCGGCUCCAGGCUCUGUGGCUCCCAAUGCUAUGGCUGCUGUGCCCAUUGGCAAUACUGGUGGGUAUGAUGCUCCUGGAUUUGGCGCCACAGUGCCGGACAUGGGAUUGGCCCAGCAGGCAGCAAUGCUUGGGCAAGGUUUGCUCGGGGGCAUGCAGCCAAAUGCUGCUGCCCUGGCUGUUCUAGCAGCCGCUGGGCAGAACCCUGCCGCAUUUGGAAUUAACCCAGCUAUGCUUGCGCAGUUCAACCCUGCUCUGGCAGCUGCUGCAGCGUUAGGUGCUGGAGGGUUGGGUACAGGAGCGCAGUCUGUGGUCAACCCUUCAGCGGUACCGCCAACACAGUCAAUGCAAGGUUAUGGGAUGGCAAGUUCUGGAUAUCAGAGUGUAGGUUAUCAGGGGCCGCCAGGAUUCCAGGGCCAGCCUCAGAUGCCUCAGUCAGGUGGUACUGGUACCGGUGCUAGUGCUUACCAGGGUGGCCCCAUUGGGCAGGGUCCAAACCCGAGGCCACCAGUUGGACAGAUGGGAGGAUAUGGAGCGCAUUAGGGUGAGGUUUCAUCAAUGUCAAUUCCAUCCGUCGAAAGAUUCUUUACAACCCUUUUCUUGACUAUGAUCUUUCAUCGCACAGUACCAGGUAUGUUUGGACGACCCUCUUUCCAAAGGAGACCAGGCCAUUUCAUGUCAAGCAAUCUGAUUAACUUGUUCUGAUCCUGGCAUCAGACAGUUUGUAUUAGGAGCGGAAUAAUCUGACUCCAAGGAGGAAACUGAAGGUUCAACUUAUCCACACAGAUGAAACAUUUUGAAGCAGGGCUUCAUAAAUCGAGGAUUUUACCAACUCCUUUUUUUCUUGGGAUGACAAACAUGUAAAAUCAUUGGCUUUAUAAAUUUUUUUGCUUACAUUCUUAUUUUCGUGAAGUAUUUUCCGCUACUUAGUUCACAACAUGAUUGUUGUGGAGGUACAUCCUUUUACCAUUUUUAGCAUUCUAAAUUCCAAAGUCAAUUUGGUCCUUCUGGAACCAGGAAUGAUCAAAUUCUAGCUACUAUAUGUAGGGCGUCUUUCUAAGGCCAGUCUUUCAUGGAAAUCAUUAUUUACCUACUAGCUGAUCUCAUCUUAUUUCCUCUGGCAGGAUCUGAACAAGAAGCUGAUUGUGUUGAUAAAAUAUAAAUUUCAGCAUGAACUCUGAAGAGGAGCAUAGUGUCAGAGGUUACUGGUUCAAGUGGAUAGAAGAGCUGGAGGUAAUUCAGAGAAGAAAGGAAAACAGGGGAGGAAGAGGAAGGAAUAGGUUAGGGAAAGGAGGAAGACACAGUGAAUUGAGGAAUUCCUGGCCAAAGAUGCUUUUUAUUAUAGCAAAUCAAAGGGGUAUUUUCUUCUGUGCGUACCUAAGUAUAUACUUAUUUCACUUUGAGCACCUUAUUUCGAUUUGUAUCAAUUUGAGCAUCGCAAU